AUGGGUGGCAGUUUAAUCGAGGAGAGGACGCGUUCGGAUCCAGGUGCUGCGAGAUCCGAGAUCCAGGGGCGAGAGGGGAUUUGGGGUAAUCGAGGAGAGGAAGGAAGACGUAAUCCAGAUGGGAUGCAUACGUCACCUGGACGGCGGCGAGGUGGAGCCGGUGAGGCGGGGCGUCGGGGUCGGCGGCGGCGAGGGUUUCUCGUGGGGAGGUUGGGGCGGAGACGAGGGCGAGGAAGGGUGAGGGGGGCGACUCGCCUUCUGCCUAGAUCUCGAUCCGGUCUGGUGGGGGAUGGAUCAACGGCCAAGAUUACACGGUGUCUCGGAUGGACGGUGGGGCGUCUUCAGUGA
rnacentral:rRNA from 1 species